UACAGAGGGUGCAAGCGUUAAUCGGAAUUACUGGGCGUAAAGCGCGCGUAGGCGGCUUGACAAGUCGAGUGUGAAAUCCCCGGGCUUAACCUGGGAGCUGCAUUCGAAACUGUCUUGCUAGAGUAUGGGAGAGGGAGGUGGAAUUUCAGGUGUAGCGGUGAAAUGCGUAGAUAUCUGAAGGAACAUCAGUGGCGAAGGCGACUUCCUGGCCUGUUCUUGACGCUGAGGCGCGAAAGCUAGGGGAGCAAACGGG
rnacentral:rRNA from 1 species